UACGAAGGGGGCUAGCGUUGCUCGGAAUUAUUGGGCGUAAAGCGCACGUAGGCGGUUUGUCAAGUCGGGGGUGAAAUCCUGGAGCUCAACUCCAGAACUGCCUUCGAUACUGGCGGUCUCGAGUUCGGGAGAGGUGAGUGGAACUGCGAGUGUAGAGGUGAAAUUCGUAGAUAUUCGCAAGAACACCAGUGGCGAAGGCGGCUCACUGGCCCGAUACUGACGCUGAGGUGCGAAAGCGUGGGGAGCAAACAGG
rnacentral:rRNA from 1 species